UACGAAGGGUGCAAGCGUUACUCGGAAUUACUGGGCGUAAAGCGUGCGUAGGCGGUUUGUUAAGUCCGUUGUGAAAUCCCCGGGCUCAACCUGGGAAUGGCCGUUGAAACUGGCGAACUGGAGUGUGGCAGAGGGGGGUGGAAUUCCGCGUGUAGCAGUGAAAUGCGUAGAGAUGCGGAGGAACACCGAUGGCGAAGGCAGCCCCCUGGGCUGACACUGACGCUCAGGCACGAAAGCGUGGGGAGCAAACAGG
rnacentral:rRNA from 1 species